UACGUAGGGUCCGAGCGUUGUCCGGAAUUACUGGGCGUAAAGAGCUCGUAGGUGGUUUGUCGCGUUGUUCGUGAAAACUCACGGCUCAACUGUGGGCGUGCGGGCGAUACGGGCAGACUUGAGUACUGCAGGGGAGACUGGAAUUCCUGGUGUAGCGGUGGAAUGCGCAGAUAUCAGGAGGAACACCGGUGGCGAAGGCGGGUCUCUGGGCAGUAACUGACGCUGAGGAGCGAAAGCGUGGGGAGCGAACAGG
rnacentral:rRNA from 1 species